rnacentral:rRNA from 1 species
GACGAACGCUGGCGGCGCGCCUAACACAUGCAAGUCGAACGAGCGAGAGAGAGCUUGCUUUCUCAAGCGAGUGGCGAACGGGUGAGUAACGCGUGAGGAACCUGCCUCAAAGAGGGGGACAACAGUUGGAAACGACUGCUAAUACCGCAUAAGCCCACGACCCGGCAUCGGGUAGAGGGAAAAGGGGCAAUCCGCUUUGAGAUGGCCUCGCGUCCGAUUAGCUAGUUGGUGAGGUAACGGCCCACCAAGGCGACGAUCGGUAGCCGGACUGAGAGGUUGAACGGCCACAUUGGGACUGAGACACGGCCCAGACUCCUACGGGAGGCAGCAGUGGGGAAUAUUGCACAAUGGGGGAAACCCUGAUGCAGCGACGCCGCGUGGAGGAAGAAGGUCUUCGGAUUGUAAACUCCUGUUGUUGAGGAAGAUAAUGACGGUACUCAACAAGGAAGUGACGGCUAACUACGUG